UACGAAGGGGGCUAGCGUUGCUCGGAAUCACUGGGCGUAAAGCGCACGUAGGCGGAUCGCUAAGUCAGGGGUGAAAUCCUGGAGCUCAACUCCAGAACUGCCUUUGAUACUGGCAAUCUCGAGUCCGGGAGAGGUGAGUGGAACUGCGAGUGUAGAGGUGAAAUUCGUAGAUAUUCGCAAGAACACCAGUGGCGAAGGCGGCUGACUGGUCCGGUUCUGACGCUGAGGCGCGAAAGCGUGGGGAGCAACAGGG
rnacentral:rRNA from 1 species